UCGGGGUAUAGCGCAGUCCGGUAGCGCGCCUGCUUUGGGAGCAGGAUGUCGGGAGUUCGAAUCUCUCUACCCCGACCAC
rnacentral:tRNA from 1 species